UCUUCCCCCUUAAGGCUGUGUAGCCAAGAGGGGCAAUGUUGACACCACCAGUUAAUUACCGGGAAAGAACUUUGAAUUAGAACUUCCAAGAAACCCAAGUUCAUGUGUGAAAAUGGAAAAAUUUCUCACUUAGAGCACAGGGACGUCUUGAGAAGUUACUGGCCUGUCCCUGUGGAAUAUUCAAGAUGGAAAGGAACCCAAAACCCAAGGUCAGAACAGAGCUCAUGGCAAAGAGAUGAACUCAGACUCAAGACGCUGCCAAUUAUCAACCAGUGUUUUUAAAGUGCUGAACAAAAUCAGCACUCUUCAUCUUUUCUGUGCUUCUGGCAAAAGAAAGCUAAUACCUGCCCAAGAUACGAGAUCCAUGUUCAGGAUGGUGGUGUGGAGAAUUAAGUUUCAGCAUGAAUUUAGAAGUCUGUCAAGUAUCCAUGUAAGUCUUCCAGUAUUCACGCAUUUCUCAAAAAAAAUAAAAAUUUAAAUUAAAAAUGAGAAGAUUUUUAGGGCUUGAGAGAUGGCUGUCUGGUUCAGAGCUCUGCUGUUCUUGUGGAGGACCUGCGUUCAGUUCCCAGCAUGCACUCUGGGCAACUCAGUCUCUAACUCCAACUGAAUGGAAUAUGAUGCCCCUUUCUGGCCUCUUAGGUGCUUGGCCUCAGAGAUAUUCACACGGACAUACACAUACACAUCUGCUUUUAAAAAGAUUUUUGAUGGGCUGACUGUGGAAGGCUUAACUCUUUUUGUCUGGGAGAGAACAGAAGAAAAUGUAUUUAAUAAAAUGAACUGGUAAAAAUUGUUCUCUUUCUGGCCCAUCUGCUGACAGAAAAUCAUUCAAACCCUAGAAAUCUUGGCCUAAGAGAAAGACGAUGCAU